rnacentral:rRNA from 1 species
AAGGUAGCUUGCUACUGGACCUAGCGGCGGACGGGUGAGUAAUGCUUAGGAAUCUGCCUAUUAGUGGGGGACAACAUUCCGAAAGGAAUGCUAAUACCGCAUACGCCCUACGGGGGAAAGCAGGGGAUCUUCGGACCUUGCGCUAAUAGAUGAGCCUAAGUCGGAUUAGCUAGUUGGUGGGGUAAAGGCCUACCAAGGCGACGAUCCGUAGCGGGUCUGAGAGGAUGAUCCGCCACACUGGGACUGAGACACGGCCCGGACUCCUACGGGAGGCAGCAGUGGGGAAUAUUGGACAAUGGGCGGAAGCCUGAUCCAGCCAUGCCGCGUGUGUGAAGAAGGCCUUUUGGUUGUAAAGCACUUUAAGCGAGGAGGAGGCUCCUUUAGUUAAUACCUAAAGUGAGUGGACGUUACUCGCAGAAUAAGCACCGGCUAACUCUGUGCCAGCAGCCGCGGUAAUACAGAGGGUGCGAGCGUUAAUCGGAUUUACUGGGCGUAAAGCGUGCGUAGGCGGCUUUUUAAGUCGGAUGUGAAAUCCCUGAGCUUAACUUAGGAAUUGCAUUCGAUACUGGAAAGCUAGAGUAUGGGAGAGGAUGGUAGAAUUCCAGGUGUAGCGGUGAAAUGCGUAGAGAUCUGGAGGAAUACCGAUGGCGAAGGCAGCCAUCUGGCCUAAUACUGACGCUGAGGUACGAAAGCAUGGGGAGCAAACAGGAUUAGAUACCCUGGUAGUCCAUGCCGUAAACGAUGUCUACUAGCCGUUGGGGCCUUUGAGGCUUUAGUGGCGCAGCU